UUUUGUUAAGUAUAUUGGCUACCUCUUCUUCCAUUCUUGAUCACAAUUUACGCCAUAUAAAUGAAAAUUUCUCAGUAGGAUUUACAUCUGUGCUGAUCAUUGUUGGCUCCAUAAUUGAGUUAAGGAGAUCUUAUCAGGCUUACAAUGUAAUGCCUACUUUAAGCAAGGUUCUUAGGAGAUAUGGUGUUUAAAGAAAUUCAGUUGUUUUUUAACUUCAGAUACAGGAGGAGAUCAAUGUGGUUAACAAAGUACAAUCAUCUUAAUCUUUCAAGGAAGUGGGUUAAAAACAUAAUCUUUGGUUUAAAGCGGAUAGGACUACCAGAGGGGAGGAGGCACAGAAGGCCGCUAUUUCAUUGAAGUAAAAGCAGAAAAAUGUUUUAUUGGCAGCACAAUAAGUUGGAGAAAAAAAUUUUGAACAGAAAAAUAUGUGCCAUUUUUAUUGUAUUGUAGGUGGUUCAGUUCAAGGCUCUAGAGAGUAGAUUUGAGUUACAGCUUUGCAUAUGUUAGCAUUUCCUGAUUUAGAUGCCAACUUGCAGUACUUGUAAUGAUUAGUUAAAUUUUUAUGUAUUUUGGGGGUGAACCACUAUAAUUGUUGAUUGUAUUUUUGAAUAGUGUGGUGUAG